AUUGAACGCUGGCGGCAGGCCUAACACAUGCAAGUCGAGCGGAGCGGCGGACGGGUGAGUAAGGACUAGGAAUCUGCCUGGAAGUGGGGGAGAGAGAACGGAUAGAGGCGGUAACUACGCACACUAUCAGAUGAGCCUAGAGCGGAUGAGCUAGUUGGUGGGGUAAGGACCUACCAAGGCGACGAUCCGUAGCUGGUCUGAGAGGAUGAUCAGUCACACUGGGACUGAGACACGGUCCAGACUCCUACGGGAGGCAGCAGUGGGGAAUAUUGCACAAUGGGCGAAAGCCUGAUACAGCCAUGCCGCGUGUAUGAAGAAGGUCCUCGGGUUGUAAAGCACUUUAAGUCGGGAGGCGUUACCGACAGAAUAAGCACCGGCUAACUUCGUGCCAGCAGCCGCGGUAAUAC
rnacentral:rRNA from 1 species